CUGCCGGCUAGCUAUGGACCUCACUCUUUUCUUGGCAGCGUUAGCUACCAGUAUUUCUGGUAACAUGAAUGGUAGCUGUGUCGUAACGUUCGCUAGCGAGCGGUAACGAAUUCAAGCUAUACAUUACUGGCAACGUUAACGUCACCGGGCUAACGUUAGUUACUUCUCAGAAGAAGCAAACCGACUCUGACAGCAAUGUUAACGGUUAACGGUUGUUAUCUUGUGAUGACAUGCUGCUGGCUAGCAGCUUUAUCCUGGUGAAAAUAGCCAAGCAGACAACCAGAAACGUCUGUACGUAUUCAAGCUACAUAAAGCUAUCCCAGGUUAGCUAAGUUAAUUAUCAUCUGCGCUAGCGAAUGCUUGGUCAAAACGAAAAUUUCUACUAUCUGCCACACAUGCUUCUGUGAAAUCUCCGCUAAGUUAGCUACUUAACGCUCACCGACAGCCCGUACCUUCAGCGGAGAUUAACUGGAUGUCCAUAUGAGUCGAGGUGCCUGAUUCCUGCUCUCUCUAUCCGAGCAUCCUUCCCUCCUCCCCUUCACGGGCCUAACGUGGAGAUUUAGUCCGAUGAGCUCCGCAGCUAUUGGCUGGAAGAUCUGUCCAUCAUUCUCUGGGUUUGGUUGACUCCCCCAGCGGCGUCUGCGCUUCCACGGCAACGCACACUUUGGCUUGGCCUUAACAGGUCUAGUCUCAGACUCACUGUGAGCUAUGGGGAAAGUCCAGCAGGUGUGCCAUAGUAACAAAGGGAUGGUUGAGCGUCUCGAUGGGCGUGAUCCUCUUAUCUGCG